AACCUUAUGGCUUAUGGUAAAGAACCUGCCUGCAAUGCAGGAUGCCGGGGUUUGAUCCCUGGGUUG
rnacentral:tRNA from 1 species